ACCAUGUAUUUGGUGAAAAUAUAUAUCCUUGUGUAUUCGGUUUUCGGUCAUGUAAGGAUUGUCGACCAACGUAACAUUAAGUGCAUAAAUAAAUCGAUAAUAAGCAAAC